AGAAUGACUCUCGGCAACGGAUAUCUAGGCUCUUGCAUCGAUAAGAACGUAGCGAAAUGCGAUACUUGGUGUAAAUUGCAGAAUCCCGUAACCAUCGAGUCUUUGAACGCAAGUUGCGCCCGAAGCCAUUAGGUUGAGGGCACGUCUGCCUGGGCGUCACAUAUCGUUGCCCGAUGCC
rnacentral:rRNA from 1 species